rnacentral:siRNA from 1 species
AAGCGGAUCAAGCGGUGCGGAUCA